rnacentral:rRNA from 1 species
CCAAAGAGGGGGACCUUCGGGCCUCUUGCCAUCGGAUGUGCCCAGAUGGGAUUAGCUAGUAGGUGGGGUAACGGCUCACCUAGGCGACGAUCCCUAGCUGGUCUGAGAGGAUGACCAGCCACACUGGAACUGAGACACGGUCCAGACUCCUACGGGAGGCAGCAGUGGGGAAUAUUGCACAAUGGGCGCAAGCCUGAUGCAGCCAUGCCGCGUGUAUGAAGAAGGCCUUCGGGUUGUAAAGUACUUUCAGCGGGGAGGAA